AGGGGCAGCACAGGUAGCAAUACUGGGUGGCGACCGGCGCAAGGGUGCGUAACGCUUGAGCAACAUACCCGUAUCAGGGGGAUAAUCCAGGGAAACUUGGUCUAAUACCCCAUAAUAAACUUUAGAGGCAUCUUUUUGGUUUUAAAAUUGCGAUGGAUACGGAUUGGCUCGUGUGACAUUAGCCAGAUGGUAAGGUAACGGCUUACCAUAGCUAUGAUGUCUAGGGGUUCUGAGAGGAUUAUCCCCCACACUGGUACUGAGACACGGACCAGACUCC
rnacentral:rRNA from 1 species